GAGGCAGAGGAUUCAGGUGACAGUGAUGCUGAACUGGACAGUGAUGGACUCAAAGGAGAGCGGGAGUUGGGAGACAAUAUGAUGGAGAAAAGAGCUGACAUGGAUUCUGAAGUGGUCCUGACACAGUCCAUGGUAGUGAAGAAGGAUGCCUUGUCCAAAAGAUACUACAGAAGUAAGUGU